AGAGUUUGAUCCUGGCUCAGAACGAACGCUGGCGGCGUGCUUAACACAUGCAAGUCGCGUGCGCAGUUGCCGUAGCAAUACGGUGAUGGGCGCACGGCGCACGGGUGCGUAACACGUGGGCAAUCUGCCCUCUGAUGGGGAAUAACCCGCCGAAAGGCGGGCUAAUUCCGCAUAAGAUUCCCGGAACUUCGGUUCUGGGAUUGAAAGCAGUAAUGCGUCGGAGGAGGAGCCCGCGCCCGAUUAGCUAGUUGGUGAGGUAACGGCUCACCAAGGCUAUGAUCGGUAGCUGGUCUGAGAGGAUGAUCAGCCACACUGGAACUGAGACACGGUCCAGACUCCUACGGGAGGCAGCAGUGGGGAAUCUUGCACAAUGGGCGAAAGCCUGAUGCAGCGACGCCGCGUGGGGGAUGAAGCAUUUCGGUGUGUAAACCCCUUUCGACUGGGAAGAAUGCCUCGCAAGAGGAGUGACGGUACCAGUAGAAGAAGCCCCGGCUAACUACGUGCCAGCAGCCGCGGUAAGACGUAGGGGGCCAGCGUUGUUCGGAAUUACUGGGUGUAAAGGGUUCGUAGGCGGUGCGGCAAGUUGGGAGUGAAAUCUCUGGGCUUAACCCAGAGGCUGCUUCCAAAACUGCUGUGCUCGAGUGUGAGAGAGGCUCGUGGAAUUGCAGGUGUAGCGGUGAAAUGCGUAGAUAUCUGCAGGAACACCCGUGGCGAAAGCGGCGAGCUGGAUCACUACUGACGCUGAGGAACGAAAGCUAGGGGAGCAAACAGGAUUAGAUACCCCCGUAGUCC
rnacentral:rRNA from 1 species